ensembl:misc_RNA 7SK 7SK RNA
GAAUGUGAGGGCAAUCUGGCUGUAGCAUUUGGCACCCCAUUCAUCUGGCUGAUCUGGCUGCCUAAGCAGGUGUCCCCUUCCUCCCUCACCACUCCAUGUGCAUCCCUCCUGAAGCUGAAGCUGUGUGCUUAGUCAGAGAGGACAACCUUCCCUGAUAGAGGAGGACCGUUCUUCAGUCAGGGGUGUAUGAGUAGCUGCACUCCCCUGCUAGAACCUCCAAAUAGGCUCUCGAGGUCUAGUUGUAGGAGAAUGUAGAGUAGUCAAGCUUCCAAGACUCUAGACACAUCCAAAUGAGAUGUUGCAUGUGGCAGUCUGCCUUUCUGU